rnacentral:lncRNA from 1 species
CUCAUCCAAUCUUGCCCAAAUCAAUUCCUACAAGUCCCAAAUCAUGUAUCAACCAUGUCUAACCCAAAGUCAAGCUUCAAAACACAGCAACACAGAAUCUAGGUGUCCACAACCCCUCAAUUCAAUGGGUUUUCUAGGUUUGAAAAGUGAAAUUUAGAAUGAGGUAAAUUUGAAGCAAACUCUCACCUCACACCAGUCCAUAACAUCUAUUUAGACUUGCUCAAACUGGAUUUACACCUAAAAUCUCACCGAAUUAAAAUUUGACUCUUCAACACCCAAAUUUGCCCUAGAAAUGGCUCUUUGUUCACUUUGGUCAUUUAUUUUUCUCUCUAGCACAGUCCAAGCUUUCUCAUAAGUCCUAAAUGACAUUUCAAGCUAGGAUUAACUCACUUUAACCUCCAUUUACCACAGAAUUCAGACUUAGCCUUCCAACUCUCAACGCCUCACUCUUUUUCCACUCAUAACACCACAUUCUCACUUUCCAACCCUAGGUUAACUCUACAUUUCAUCUCUAACAGUUUUCCAUGGGCAAUUUCAGCAUAUAAACAUCACAAACAUCAUCACAAAAACCCUAAAACAGAAUGGGUAUGUCUAACUCAUCCAAACAUGGCAAUUUCAACAAGCUUUCAACAAAUGUCUUCACAAAUAAUCAUCACACAGCAGAAACCUAGCAAGACUACCCAUCAUAUCUCCCCAAACCCCAUAC